rnacentral:misc_RNA from 1 species
AGAGUAUUCUUUUAUUUUUCCUAUGAUGGAUGAUAGAUUCAAAAUAAGGAUAGAUUAGUCAUUUAUUUUUGGGAAUUACCUCAACUUUUGUCCAUAGGAAGUGUUUGUUUUUAGUGGAUCCAAUUCAUGUUCGCUAAUGCUUUCAAACUAAAGGUAGAAUUGUAAUUUAUGCUUUCAAUUUAUCUAUGUCCCAUUUAUCAAACAAACACUAUGUCCAGAAAAAUGUAAAGAAGGCACUAGUUUCUGCUUCCAUAAAUGUAAUAUUGCAAAAGACCUGCCAAGAAGUCCUCCAAAAUUUGUUGAAAUCCAUGAUGACAUAGUUGUUAUGGUAAUAGAUAGAGCAAAGAUCAUCUGUUGAUAGCUGUAUGAUGUAUCAUUCA